ensembl:lncRNA
CAUGCCUCUGUCUUGCCUUUGAAUGAGCACUCCUCUGAGCAGGGCCUGGCAGUCUUCUUUUGUGUAUCUCCAGUGUCUAGCACAGCGUUGGGCAUUGUGGCAGCGCUCACUAAGUGUCUGUGCGAUGAGUGAAUGAAUGAAUGAAUAUCUAGGGUGGCAAUCUGCUGCUACUCCUCAUUCUGUCCUAAAAUGUCACCGAGACCAUUCUAAUAGUAAGCCAAUGCCUGUUUUCCCAUUAGGGUGGUAUUUCCAGCCUUUCUUUCUUUCUUUUUUUUUUUUCCAAUUUAAAAAUGGUAUUUAUUUGUUUGGCUGUGCCAGGGCUUUAGUUGUGGCACGCAGAUUCUUAGUUGCAACAUGUGGGCUCUAGUUUCCCCACCGGGAAUCAAACCCAGGCCUCCUGCAUUGGGAAUGUGGAGUCUUUUUAGCCACUUGCAUCACCAGGGAAGUCCCUUCCCUUUCUUCUUGAAUACCUACCACGCCAAGCCCUUCUAGGUGCCAGGAAUACAAGCAUGAGCAAAAGCUGAUUCCAGCUCCUGAGGAGCCCAGUCACCGAUAUUAGGGCAAUAGGCACAAAUGGUCACCACGCGGUAUAAUAGACUCUAUACAAGCACAAAGGCGCCUUCGUCAUAUGGAAGAAGUCAUCUGAGAGCUGAGUCUUUUAAAGGCUCAGCUCCUAGCUGGGGAGGAGGAGCCCCUGGUGGGGCUGGCGUCAGCCUCUGGAAGCUGCCCCUAAGCCCAAGCCCUCGCUGGCCAACAGCCCAGCUCCCCCGGCGCCUGAAGAGGGUCUGCGGACGCACAGUGCUUCCGGCUGCCCUUGCUAGUGGCUCUCCGGCUGUGCUGUCAGAGCUGGUACAGAACCUCCAUUCAAGGGCAAGCCCUGAUGACUCCAGCAGCCAGACAGAGGCAGAGGGACCUACGAAUUCGGCAGAGAGGGAAGUGCAUCCAGCCUUCAAUCCACCAGAUCUGGCUAUUCCCUUUCAAAGACAGAUCGCCUUUUGUGGUGUGUUUUCUGCUGCUAAUACAACAUGAAGACAGAAACAUGAAAGAAAAAGAACAAAAGGGCCAGAGAUGAGUGGGUCAGUAAAGCCCGGGUGAGGCCAGGAGGAUGACUGAGACGCGGAGACAGACAAGGAGCCGCAGAUGGAGAUGCACUCUUGGGAGAGAUGAGAAGAUACAGGGCGUGAGGAAAAGCAGCCUCGGGGAAGGAAAAGGCAGAGAGCGAAAACCAACAAAAGCGUAAUAAAUCCGAAAACCAGAAGGGCCUGAAGAGAAACUGUCCAGAGAGAAGGGGUGUGAGGUCAGAAGGGAGAAGCAGGAGGGGUGGGGAUGGAGGCCGAGGAAUGGCGCAACAGAAAUCUCUCAGGAAGGGUCACUCACCUCCCGGAGCUGUCGGGCUUGUUGGCUGCAGCGAGCCGAAUCUAUUUAAAAACACACCAGGCAUUUUGCCUCGUUCUGUUUCCCUGCCCAGAAAGGGCUGGAGCCAGAGGCUCAGGGAACCGUUCCAGCCUUAGGACCCUGCACGGGCCACAGGGCUGAAGACCCGCUUGCCCUUUCUGGGAAUCACCCACCUUCGCUUGCGAGUUGCGGGGGCCACUCAACGCGCAGCAUCCUGAUGGCAGUCCCUAAGGUUACCGGUGUCAUCCGCUUCCCACUGGGAAAGACUCGACCAUGUCCUUCAUUCUGUCUUCAAGCUAGUUGAAAAGCAGAUGCUGCUCAAAUGGACAGCUGCUCUAAAGGGAUGCUCCAAGAGAGCUCCCUGACCCGUGGGAAUACACUUAACGAUGACUGGAGGGGCCUGGGGUGGAUUGGAUUACAGCGAGACAAAGUAGAGAAUGUGAAAGGACAUCAAGGAUAAAAUGGCCCUGGGGAAACCAUAUGGGACUUGAAUGGGAAAAACCUGUGCAUCUUUUGGAACGCUCUGACCUGGAGAUGAUCCGACUCCUCAUCCACCUGGCACAGAGGGGUACAAAAUUAGAAGUGGCUAGGAGUAGUGGCCAAGGAAAGCCAUCCGUGCAGACUUUGUUUUCUCCCCUGCUGAGAGGGUGGGUCUGAGAGGUUCUUCCUUCCCUGGCUCUGGAGCCCAUUAUAUUGUGUAAAAUACUUUUCAAGGCUGAAUAUAAGUCCUCUGCUCUGCAUGAGAUUUACAUUCUUGAGAAACUUAGUGUACAAAUCACACCAAAUUUUGCUUGCCACAGGAGUUGGCUUUUCAAAAUAAAUUUGAGGUCAGCCCUAUGUUUAAAAAGGAUGGCUUUUGAAGGUGAAUAAUCAUCCUGGUUCAUGUUUGUAACUUUGGAAUUUU